ensembl:snoRNA
UGGGCCCUGAAUCGAGGCAAGAAGUUUGUUGUAGCUGCUAAUUUCAAACAGGAACCUAGGGAUAAGUCUUCUAGGGUCUGUUGGCCAUUUCAGAACUUUGGCAAUGCUGUAAUCAAUUCACUAUAAAGAAAUAUCU